UUUAGUUCAAUUUAACAAAUCCUUUCUUUUUUUUUAAGGAGGUACCAAAGAAAAUUAACAACGGGACCACAAAUAUAAAUAUCACAAAAAAGGAAGAAAUACAUAAAAAAAUAACGAAAAAAGAAAAGUGUGUCUACCGUACCCAAGAAGACUUUAGCAAGGAGGAUGAUAAAGAUCCAUUUGCCAAAUACCCAGAGCCCAGGGGAAAUUUAAAACUUGGAGAGGCCAUCGGAGAAGGCAAUUUUGGAGUUGUCCAUGUGGGUUGGCAUAAUAUCAAACGCAAAGAAGUGGCCGUUAAAAUAAUAAAGAA